rnacentral:rRNA from 1 species
GACGAACGCUGGCGGCGUGCUUAACACAUGCAAGUCGAGCGGAGCGGCGAACGGGUGAGUACCGCGUGAGUAACUGCCCCCCUCUCUGGGAUAACAGUUGGAAACGGCUGCUAAUACCGGAUAGUGGGGGGGGACUCGCGUCCUAUCAGCUUGUUGGGGGGGUAGUGGCCUACCACGGCGACGACGGGUAGCCGGCCUGAGAGGGCGACGGGCCACAUUGGGAAGGGAUACGGCCCAAACUCCUACGGGAGACAGCAGUGGGGAAUAGUGCACAAGGGGGGAAACCCGGAUGCAGCAACGCCGCGUGCGGGAUGACGACCUUCGGGUUGUAAACCGCUUGCAGCCAUGACGCGGUAGUAGCAGAAGAAGCACCGGCUAACUACGUGCCAGCAGCCGCGGUAAUUC